rnacentral:rRNA from 1 species
AUUGAACGCUGGCGGCAGGCUUAACACAUGCAAGUCGAGCGAGCGGCGGACGGGUGAGUAAUGUAUGGGGACUGCCCGAUAGAGGGGGAUAACUACUGGAUACUGUUGCUAAUACCGCAUACUUUCGGCUAACCCAUUUGGGAUUAGCUGGUUGGUGGGGCAAAGGCUCACCUAGGCGACGAACUCUAGCUGGUCUGAGAGGUGGAUCGGCCACAGUGUAAGUGGUACAGAGCCCAAACACCUACGGAGACGGCAGGGGGAAAAUGUGCACAUGGGGCGGAAGCCUAGUCAAGCCGUGCGGCGUGUAUGAGGAAGGCCUAAGGGUUGUAAAGAAUUUACGGCGGGUAGACGUUACCCGCAGAAGAAGCACCGGCUAACUCCGUGCCAGCAGCCGCGGUAAUAC